AAAAAUUCAUAUAACUAUGACAUCAUAGAACAAAACUUAUCGAAUGUUCUUUAGACUACUGUUUAUUUUAAAAGCUAAAGCAGUAGUUGAGUCGUUAAGCGUCUGUUACCAAAGUUAGUAUAGACUAACUUUGUCUGUUACAUAUGGCCACACAUCGAAGUUUAUGUUAGAUACGUUCGUUCUAGCUGAGUGUUCUGUUUCCAUGAAUCUGCUGUCAAGAGUCAAGUCAUCUCACUAAAUGUGAGAAUAGAAAUAGAUUUCUUAGAUUCGGUACAAUUGAUAAGUUCCUGUCUGAGGUAUGAGUACGUUCUGUAAUGUUUUGUAUAGUCUACCUCUG